UUAAAAUUGAAAGACAUCAAAAAAAAACUUCACUCCUUCCUCACACAACAUCAUCUUUACCCAACUUCUCUUCACUCUUCAACUUCUAACCACAACAAUACCGCACCUUUUCUAAUGGCAACACUCUCACACCCAUUCACACACUUCUUCAUCAUUCGUAGAACCACUUCAACUCACCCCAAUUCCUUCCUCAUUCGA